AGAGUGUAUUCUCCCAGAAGCUGAGCACAAUUCCUCUUUUUUGCUUGUCAAUAUGGAAGAUAGGUGUUCCAGACAAACCAAGUAUCAAAUGUAAGUGAGAACAAAGACUACAGGGAACAGAAUUUAAUGGACUGCGAUUACUGUUCUGGAACAGAGUGAACCUCUUUAUAGUCCAUGAGAAGAUGAUGUGAACUGAAUUCAAACAAAGGACUGAUAAUGGAUUUUACUGCAAGCUGCAUGAGGGUGUAUGUAUGUUUUUAAAAUGUUC
rnacentral:lncRNA from 11 species